AUGGCAGGUAGCAACAGGCGAGGCCGAGGGCGCCGGCUCCCGCUACAGCCCAGCGCGGUCCCUGGCCAAGCAGCCGGGGGUCUCCGACGGUACCCCAGGGCCAAACAGCCUUCUCCUCUCCAAGUCCCCAAUCCUCGGCCCCGCGCGGCCUCCUGCUCGCUCUCCCGGGAUCACUUCUGUCGCCAGCGGAGGAGCAGGUGCCAGCGUAACAGAUAAUUCCCUGAGCUCUAUCACUUGCAAAAUCGAACGGAGUCCAGCAAAAAUAUGAUUGAAAUGAAACAGACGGUGAGGGGCACUCAGGACCCACGUUUACUGUAUGCAUAACACCGUCACAUAGCUCAGACCCUGACACAAAGACUCCAUAAACAUUUAUUUAAUGAAUGAGCAAAUUCAGGACUAAAAGAAUAAGAAUACGGACAAAAGAUCUCAUCGAAGCUACUAACAGGACUGCCUAGGAGAUGAAUCCUUCAGACCAAAAGACUGAAGAUUAAAACACUAAAUAAAUCCCAAUAUCUAAAGCAAACAGUCACAAGUUUUUUUUUUUGUUUGUUUUUUAAUUGAGGUAUAGUUGUUUUACAAUAUUGUGUUAGUUUCUACUGUAUAGCCUGUGUUAUACAGCAGGUUCUUACUAGUUAUCUGUUU